rnacentral:rRNA from 1 species
UACAGAGGGUGCAAGCGUUGUUCGGAAUUAUUGGCGUAAAGGGCGCGUAGGCGGUGCGGUAAGUCACCUGUGAAACCUCUGGGCUUAACUCAGAGCCUGCAGGCGAAACUGCCGUGCUUGAGUGUGGGAGAGGUGCGUGGAAUUCCCGGUGUAGCGGUGAAAUGCGUAGGAUGAUCGGGAGGAACACCUGUAGGCGGAAAGCGGCCGCACUGGACCACAACUGACGCUGAGGCGCGAAAGCUAGGGGAGCAAACAGG